rnacentral:rRNA from 1 species
GGCGGAGUUAUGGCACACUCUAAGCGUAGUAAUCUUUACCUCUCGCUUCUGUAGUUGCCUUAACUGCCUGCCGUAAAACCCCCUAUAUUUUCUAAUGGUUGACCUCGGAUUAGGUAGGAAUACCCGCUGAACUUAAGCA